rnacentral:rRNA from 1 species
AUUGAACGCUGGCGGCAGGCCUAACACAUGCAAGUCGAACGAGUGGCGGACGGGUGAGUAAUGUCUGGGAAACUGUCUGAUGGAGGGGGAUAACUACUGGAAACGGUAGCUAAUACCGCAUACCAUCGGAUGUGCCCAGAUGGGAUUAGCUAGUAGGUGGGGUAAAGGCUCACCUAGGCGACGCGCCCUAGGUGGUCUGAGAGGAGGACCAGCCACACUUGAACUGAGCCACGGUCCAGACUCCUACGGUAGGCAGCAGUGUGGAAUAUUACACAAUGGGCGAAAGCCUGAUGCAGCCAUGCCGCGUGUAUGAAGAAGGCCUUCGGGUUGUAAAGUCCUUUCAGCGGGGAGGCGUUACCCGCGGAAGAAGCACCUGCUAACUCCGUGCCAGCAGCCGCGGUAAUAC